CAGUCGCCGCGGGAAUACGAAGGGGGCUAGCGUUGCUCGGAAUGACUGGGCGUAAAGGGCGCGUAGGCGGCGGCCAAAGUCAGGCGUGAAAUUCCCGGGCUCAACCUGGGGGCUGCGUUUGAUACUUGGUUGCUUGAGUGGGGAAGAGGGUCGUGGAAUUCCCAGUGUAGAGGUGAAAUUCGUAGAUAUUGGGAAGAACACCGGUGGCGAAGGCGGCGACCUGGUCCUUUACUGACGCUGAGGCGCGAAAGCGUGGGGAGCAAACAGGAUUAGAUACCCCGGUAGUCCCUGUCUCUUAUAU
rnacentral:rRNA from 1 species